ACGCUCCCUUCUCCUCUCUCUCUCAACCCACUCGUGGCGGAGGCAGCAGGGGCAGGGCCCGCACUACCGUCGCAGAAGAGGGCUAGCGCGCCCGCACCGCCAUCGCAGAAGACUCCUUUUCCCCUUUUCCAUCCUUCUCCCUCUUUUCUCCGCCCGUUUCACUCGCCGUGGCCGAUGGACGCACCACCGGAGACCACGGCCACUCCGAAAACGGCGGCGAUGAGAAGGCUCAGCCCUUGGCGCAGACCCGCGAGGCGGCACAGCGAUGGCAGCAACAUUUUUCUCCAACCCGUUUCCGUUUGAGGCUACGACAGAUGUUUCUUGGUUUCCUCAGACGUCUGCGGGGUAGACCAUGCUGCCCGCCGUGAGGGGAGACGCCGCCCCAGGCACGAGCACCCCGCCGCCGAGAAGCUCGUCCAUGGCCAUGGGUAAGGCCUGUCACCAUCAGAAAGUGCAAGAAGAAAGCUCCGAGGAAGAUCCACAAAGCCGAUAGGGAGAAACAUGAGCCCGACCUGCUCAAUGAUCUCUUCAGUGAACUUGGCAAAAUAGGUCAGUUAAAUAGGUGUGCAUCAAUCACUAACCUCGACACCUCCUAGAUUAUGUCACUGCCAGCGUUGCUUCAGUUACCCUGUCUCUGAAUUUUGGGGAUCAUUUCCUUUGGAAUGUUGGACCUGAGCAUGGGUAUGUGUGAAUCUGCAUCAUGUUGUUACCAUCCAUUUCCAUGGCUUUUGGGGCGAGUAUAGGGGUUCAGUAUGUGUCAUGGAUUUCCUUAGUAGAUCCCAGUGAAUGUUUAUGCUGAUGAAAACGUGUAUGAACUCAUUCAAAAUUAGUAACACAUGUCUACAUAUAAAAUUGUGUAUUACCUGCAUCCAUUAAUUUCAAUCUUUUUCUAAUCCAUCAUGCAUGUCACGGUCGAUCUCUUGUAGUACAUGUUAUGUCACAUGGUAAUUCAUAGCAGCACUACAACGUAACAACCAAGCUGGGCGUUGUUCUUUACCAAUGCCUGUCUACUUGCUGUCAUCUCUAAGACACUAACUGCUCAACUAAUCGAUGAAAUUGUAGCCUUUUAGAAAUGCCCAGUUGUACCUCUUAAGUUUCCUGUUGUCAUUAUUUGCUUCACGUAGCCUGCUGUAUUAUUUGUCUACUUGAUGUCACUUCUAAGUUAUAACUACUGAACUGGUUGCAAGUGCUUUUAGUAUUCCACUCUCAGUCAUACACCAUGCCUGGUACUACGGGUCCUGCUACAAAAACUGAGGCUUCAUCAGUGAAAAAAUGCAGGUGCUUCAACUUUCACAGGUCUUCCUAAUUAUCUCUGUUCGAAACCGUCAGUUGCAAAUUCAGUUCCACUGAAUUCAAGCUUCAAGCAUCUGAGAGCAAGGCUGACAACUGCUGAGCAAGAUGAUCCUGAUAAAACAAGGGCAGCAGACUAAAUAGGUAAAGCUUGGUAUAACUUGCCACAUUUUGACUUAACUUGGGACCCAUGACUUCCAAUUCUGUCUACCAUUUGGCUUCUUGAUGUUGCAUGGGAACUCCUGGAGCACGUACAGUUGUUCAUUGCAAAGUGGGAUUUAUACAUGCCUACGUGUUGUCCAAUCAUGUUUGCUUACUGUAUGGUGUAUAUGCAACGAGGCACCCUAUGAGAUUUGGAUUUAUAGUUUUUUAUUCCAAAAAGUGGAAACAUAAACUCCGCCGCUGUAAAUUACAAAUUAUUUUGUUAACUUCCUUUCCAGCACAUUUAGGGUGUAUGAUCUUGUGCACAUUACAUGUAUAGUGUUGUGCACCAAUCUGGUUGAUGUUUACAUAAUCCAAGCAGAUUUACCAAUUAGAAGAGCCAUGUAUUAUUGUAGUUUUCUCUCUACAUCAAGUACACAUAAAUCUAAUGUCGUAGAAUGUAGUUUCUUUUAUUGUUCUGCAGAUCUUCCCCGUGAGGCGCUACAGAUCAGAUGGGCGCUGUCGUGAAGGCCGCGAAGGCGUGGCCGGCGGCAUGGGUUAGCCUGUGGGUGGUACCACCGUGCUGCUCUGGACGUGCAUUGUGGUGCUGCUCGUGGCGGCUUUCGAAGGGAGACAAAGUGGUAUGUGCUUUUCUAAACAUAUAUAUUCCUGAAGAACCUUUUUUGUAGUCCCGAUGAAUUGAGCGAUUUGUUCUCUCGUGUCUCUUCUCCUUCAUUUCUACCUUGAUGCAGCAGGACAUAGAGAAUUUGGGGGCUACUCGGGUUUGGAUCAGCAAGCCAUGUCUGUUUCGUUUGGCAAAGGCCUUUUAUCCUUUUUCUAUAAUGCCAUGAACGUCUCUGAAUUUUUACACUGCUUCCAGCCGAUGCUUAAUAUUUUUUCCAACAUAUUUGUGACUGGAGCCCACACAUACAUAGUCAUGGAUCUGAUUUUGUGUUUUGGAUCUUGCUAUUUCACUGAUUUGGAACAUCUAUAUGCAGUUCUAGGCUUCUAGCUAGAUGGAUUAAUAGAUAUGUUGGACCUAUGCAUUUUAUAUUACCCGCAUGGAUCUAUGUUUGUUAUUUGAUGCUCGUCCUUAUCCCGGGGAAGAAUUUUUGCAAAGAGAGGUCAUUUUUGGAGAUAUGGAUUUGUUGUCACUUCAGCAGUAUGCUUUUAGUGCUACAGAGUAUGCUGUGAAAUUAGAUUAGAUUGAUGAUUAGCGAUUAACUAUAGAACUGUUGGCAGCAACAGUUUAACAUAUGUUGAUUUCUGGCCCAUCUUUAUUUGCUUUAAACUAUGAAUUUGAAAACAAAAGAAUUCUACAUUUGUUGAUGCUAAAUUUAUCCGUCCUUUUGUUUUGAUAAUCACCUCUUGCAUAUGUGUUCCUGCGUAGUUUUUGUACUGCCACAGCUUGGUUGUUUUGGCAGGAUAAUGUAUUUUCUUAUGAAAAACACGAAUGAGUAAUUACAUGAUAUAUUAUUAAUAUUAGACUAUGUUGUUUCUCUGAAACUAACUUUGUAUUUCAGCUUUGGAAACUGGUGUUCUAAUGUUAGUUCCGACAAGAGGGCCACUAUAACCACCAACUAGUCUGAGUUUCGUCGCCAUGCCAACAUUCACGAAGGAGACGUCUGUGCAUUUUGUUUCAGGAUCACUUAAAAGCGCCGCCUGGUUUUCACCGUGCACCGCCUCUAGAUGCACCAUCGAAGACACUGCAGCCCCUGUGUCAAUAUAAUCUAGCACUAAGUACUCUUAAUUAUGCUCUAUCCUGUGAUAACCUAUGGUUUGCUUUUGGCCUUAUCACAAGCUUUUCAAGACGCUAAAUCUAUCUUGUUGCUUAUGUAAAGUGCACUAUUAUCAGUCAGAUGUUUCAUGUUCA